UGGCCGUAAACGAUGUGGACUUGGUGUUGGGAUGGCUCCGAGCUGCCCCAGUGCCGAAGGGAAGCUGUUAAGUCCACCGCCUGGGAAGUACGGUCGCAAGACUGAAACUUAAAGGAAUUGGCCGGGGGGAGGCACCACAACGCGUGGAGCCUGCGGUUUAAUUGGAGUUCAACGCCGGACAUCUCACCAGGGCGACAGCAGAAUGAUGGCCAGGUUGAUGACCUUGCUUGACAGGCUGAGAGGAGGUGCAUGGC
rnacentral:rRNA from 1 species